GUAUAAGAGACAUGUGAAUCAUCGAAUCUUUGAACGCACAUUGCGCCCCCUGGUACUCCGGGGGGCAUGCCUGUUCGAGCGUCAUUUCAACCCUCAAGCUCUGCUUGGUAUUGGGCUACGUCGGUGCGCCGACGAGCUUCAAAAUUAGUGGCGGUGCCGUCCUGGCUCCACGCGUAGUAUUAUUCUCGCGCGUCCGGAUGCCCAGGUGGUGCUAGCCAGCAACCCCCCUCUAUAUACAAAGGUUGACCUCGGAUCAGGUAGGGAUACCCGCUGAACUUAAGCAUAUCAAUAAGCGGAGGA
rnacentral:misc_RNA from 1 species